GUGUCUCUUGAGAAUUGGUCUGUUGAAAUCUUAGUCUUUAACUUGGUUUUUAACCAAUCUUUCAUUACCACUGGUCUUCAUUUAUAACCAAGUUCCAAUCAAAUCAUACCCUAAAUGUGGUCAUCUUAAAAUACAUUCAUGGGAGUUCUCGUCGUGGUGCAGCAGAAACGAAACUGACUAGGAACCAUAAGGUUGCGGGUUCGAUCCCUGGCCUUGCUCAGUGGGUUAAGUAUCCAGCAUUGCCAUGGCUGUGGCGUAGGCUGGCAGCUGUAGCUCCAAUUAGACCCCUAACCUGGGAACUUCCACAUGCCAUGAGUGCAGUCCUAAAAAGCCAAAAAAAAAAAAAAAAAUGAGGUGGCAGGGAAGGUGUGUCAUUUUCAAGACUGAAAAGGCCAGGUGGUUGGGGAGAAGUCAGCAGCCAUGUUGUGAGGACACUCAAGCAGCUGUGUGCAGAGGUGCGUGGCGAAAGGCAGGAAUGCCUCCUGCCAACAGCCAUGGGAGUGAGUCACUUUAGCAGCGGGUUAGUCUAACCACCCCUGAGAUUGCAACCUCGGGAGAGUCCCUGAGCCAUGGUUUCCAACUAAGCACCUCAGACUCCUGACCCAUAGAGACUGUCAGACAAUGAAUGUGUAUUGUUUUAGGAUAGCAAGACUAAGGCGGCCUCCUUAGUAUUUGGGGGUGGCCUGUUACACAUCAGUAGAGAACUAAUACACUGAACUUUGUGGUAUCACAUCAUUGUUUUUCCUAGCAAUGAUCUUCUCCAGUCCUUUGUGUCCAAAUUUAACCAUCUUUUCAGGCUCCCAGAUGACCUUCUUCAGAGCUGUCCCUGGACCUCCAAGGCCCCGAUGUUCAAAAAUCUGUAAAUAACUGUUUCUUCCUUAGACUUCCCAAAGAACUUUGUAUCUGGUUCUAAUUCACAUGGUCUAAAACCAGCAUGGCCAAAAGUAAGACCAAUUCAUCUACCACCCAGCUGAUGAAAAUGUAUACUUCUGACGUCACCGUUCUACUGAAGUUGCUGUUCCUCAAAUAGGCCAGGCGUGCUCCCCCAGGGCCACUGUCCCACCCCUGCCUAUCACCGUGAUUCAUGCCCUCACCUCCUUCAGGCCUGUGCUUGAAUGUCACCUUCUCAGCAGAGCCUUUCCUAACAACCCAUUUGAAACCACCCGGGCCCUCACUCCUUCCCAUCAAACACCCACCCAGUCCUCCCUGUCCGUUACUGCAGUUUUAUUUUCUCCACAGCACUUACCACAAUCUAACACAUAUUUUACAUAUGCCAUUCACCAACUGUCUCCCCGCUUCCAGACUGUGGGCCCCAGGAAGGUGAACAUUAGGUUCAGCUGUUCAGUGCUAUGUCCGGAGCCCCUAGAACAAUGCACAGCAUGUAGCACGUGCUCAAUAAAAACCUGAAUAUAUGAUCCAGAUUGUGGUAUUUCAUACGCCACAUAAUGGAUGUAAUACCAACUAAACAUGGUGAUAUUUCAGGUGUCUUUAUGUCUACAAGCAUUUAAAGGAGGCUGCAUUAAUUUCCUCCUUGAUUAGAUAAAAACCAAACCAAAUCUUGACACAUCCUAAAGUCGGUAAUCUUUGAAAAAGAAAACUUAAGAAUUGUUGCAUUCUUACUUUUUUUUUUGGCGGCACCCACAACAUGCAGAAGUUCCUGGGCCAGGGUUCGAACCCACACCACAGAAGUGACCCAAGCCACAGCUAACAGCACCAGAUCCUCAAUCCACGGAGCCACCAGGAACUCCAAGAAUUGUUACAUUCCUAGGGGUAGCCAAAAUGGUCCUAUCAU
rnacentral:lncRNA from 1 species